AACGAACGCUGGCGGCAUGCCUAACACAUGCAAGUCGAACGAGACCUUCGGGUCUAGUGGCGCACGGGUGUGUACGCGUGGGAACCUGCCCUUAGGUUCGGAAUAACUCCCCGAAAGGGGUGCUAAUACCGGAUAAUGUCUUCGGACCAAAGAUUUAUCGCCUUUGGAUGGGCCCGCGUUGGAUUAGCUAGUUGGUAGGGUAAAAGCCUACCAAGGCGACGAUCCAUAGCUGGUCUGAGAGGAUGAUCAGCCACACUGGGACUGAGACACGGCCCAGACUCCUACGGGAGGCAGCAGUGGGGAAUAUUGGACAAUGGGCGAAAGCCUGAUCCAGCAAUGCCGCGUGAGUGAUGAAGGCCUUAGGGUUGUAAAGCUCUUUUACCCGGGAUGAUAAUGACAGUACCGGGAGAAUAAGCUCCGGCUAACUCCGUG
rnacentral:rRNA from 1 species